AUGCUGCCAAGUGGAUUAAAGGACGAAUUGCAGUGCGAUGGUUUUGGGUCGUGCCAUGAUUCACGCGUGCUGAAACCUACACUAUAUAAGGAAAACUUGAAAAAUUUGCCAGAGCUCAGAAUCUUUCCAGAAGGAUUACGACUUCAAGCAUUACUAGUAGAUAUUUGGUGUAGCAUAAGCAUAACAAGCAGAUGUUUUAUUAUGAUUGUCAACAUGCCGGUGUACCAACAUGUUGACAAGAGAGAGACUUGA